CCUACGGGUGGCAGCAGUGAGGAAUAUUGGUCAAUGGACGAGAGUCUGAACCAGCCAAGUAGCGUGAAGGAUGACUGCCCUAUGGGUUGUAAACUUCUUUUAUAAAGGAAUAAAGCGAGGCACGUGUGCCUUUUUGCAUGUACUUUAUGAAUAGGGAUCGGCUAACUCCGUGCCAGCAGCCGCGGUAAUACGGAGGGGCCGAGCGUUAUCCGGAUUUACUGGGUUGAAAGGGAGCGUAGAGGGGAUGUCAAGUCAGGUGUGAAAGUCCGGGGCUCAACCCUGGAACUGCAGUUGAUACUGGGAGGCUGGAGUGCAGGAGGGGUAAGCGGAAUUCGUGGUGUAGCGGUGAAAUGCGUAGAUAUCAGGAGGAACUCCGGUGGCGAAGGCGGCUUACUGGACUGUAACUGACGUUGAGGCUCGAAAGCGUGGGUAGCAAACAGGAUUAGAUACCCGAGUAGUC
rnacentral:rRNA from 1 species